rnacentral:misc_RNA from 1 species
AAGUCGUAACAAGGUCUCCGUUGGUGAACCAGCGGAGGGAUCAUUCAAGUACGCCCGCGCGCCCCGAAAGGGUGCUGCGCGGUUCGUUCAGCCCCUGUGAACCGUCUACCUUUUAAACGUUGCCUCGGCGGAUGGGCCCCCUGGGGCCGCCGCCGAAGGCCCCCUAGCAAGCUCUAGCCACCGUGGCCUACUUCUGAUUUAUAGCAUUUAUGAAACGCUAAAAACUUUCAACAACGGAUCUCUUGGCUCCA